AGUCCGGGACAUUUCUAUUUGGACAUAAAAAAUUUGAAUUUUCUGACAUUUAUACGUAUAUUCAGCGUCUAUGUGAACAAAAAAUGUUCUCUCUCUCAUUCUAUGGUCCUUGAGCUUUAAUAACAGGGACAUUUUUUAAAUUGGUAGCAUUAGAAAAUGACAGUAAACAGCUGACUGAUGUAAACAAUAACACAAUAACAAAGGAAAUAGGAAGGAAAUGUUAUAAUUUUAAUCUAUAUAACCAGUGGCUGCUUUAAAAGUGUGUACUAACGGGAUAAUAAAAUAUUUACAUUGUAUGAUGAGACGGGAAUGGCACAACACAGAAUUGCAGUCAGUGAUUGUGCUGGAGAAAGCUGCUGUGACGUACUGACAGUACUGACUGUCGCUGGUUGUAUGAUUUGCGUAAUUUGUGAUAUAUUUUGUGUGAAAAACUGGAAAACAAAGUGCAUACCUGCAUAACCUCACUUAUCGCAGUUUUGCACAUUUUGAUGAUGGGAAUUGCGGUUCAAGUAAUUAUGAGUUAUAGAUGGAGCUCACUGUUUACUUCAAACUGAAGCCUUUUGGGUCCACUUUUUUCGUUGUUAUUUCCUGGUAGCGACUCUUGUUUCAAGCAGAAUGGGUGUAAAGUUAAAAAUAAUCCCAUAAAAUUGUUAAUAUAACUCCGUUGCACUGGCAUGGGGUAUUUGAAAACUUACGUUUAACAAAUACGUCACAGCCAUCGUCAAAAAACAUAAUAAGGGCUUUAUAACAACAAGCGCUUUCUGAUUUUACUGUGGACGUGUGGAAGAAUAGUGUGAAAUAUUGCGAAAAACCAACUUUUACUCUUGUUUACAUUUUUGUACGUCUCUAUCUGAGAGUAGUCGAGUAGUCGUCUUUUAUAAAAAAUAUAGCUUACUAAUAAAGGAAAUUAAAGUGUUUUUAUUUCUGGGUUGCCUCCAAUUCCACUUUGCCCUUGCCUGAUAAUCAAGACACUGAUAAUGAAAUUGGUGUAAGUGCAUCGAAUACAAACGUGUUGAAUAGAUGAAUAAAAGAGAGACAACUGCUUUUUUCAAAAAGGCCAUUUCAUAUUUAUUCAAAAAGCACACCCCCAUUGAAAAGGGUCCAUUCACGAUGAAGUUUGGCUUCCUGCAUGACAUAGGUCUCGGGCACCAAUCUCACUGUAAAUGGUCUAAAUUGGUCUUGCAUCUCUAAGACAUGGACUCACUGAGAGCGACUUCUGCAGAAGGCUUGAGACCUGCC